UUUACCCUACUGAUGAAGCGUUGUUGCCACAGUAAUCCUGCUCAGUACGAGAGGAACCGCAGAUUCAGACAUUUGGUUCAUGUGCUUGGCUGAUAAGCCAAUGGUGCGAAGCUACCAUCUGAGGGAUUAUGACUGAACGCCUCUAAGUCAGAAUCCCGCCUGGAAAGCGACGAUGCAUUCGUGCCUCGGCCUCGAGAGGCGUAGCUAGACGGCCGUGUGGCCGUGGAAAGAGCCCGAUUCCGACCCGAGAGGCCGCGGCAAGAGGCGGCCUCGAAGUCGGUGGAUCCUCCUGCUCGAAAGGCGGGGUGCUAAACCAUUCGCAGACGACCUAGUUGAAGAUCGGGGUGUCGUGAUCACUAGAGCAGUACAUCUGACUGCGAUUUGUUGAGAGUAAGCCUCAAGAUCUGUCGGUUUGU
rnacentral:ncRNA from 1 species